ensembl:lncRNA novel transcript
AGGGGAAGAGGGCCUUUGCCGCCGUUCGCGUCAGGGCGAGUUCCGGGACGUCAGUGCGGUCUCCGCCAAUGGUUGCAAGAAAAACUCCUCGGCCCCUCGGACCAUCUUUCCUGUUUCCAAAUGCCGGGGACCAGUGUCUGUGACUGCGCCGCCUGCCUGAGGGCAUGUACUGAAAAGCCCUGCGACUCCAACAUGUGGGACUCACAAGCACCUUGGACAGGCCUCAAAACGCGGCUGACAUACAGAAUUUUUACCAUUAACGACCUGAGGCAGGACUGGUGGAGGUCAGUUCAUUAGUUACUGAUCUCAAGAAACAAGUCAGGACUAUUUUCUAAUGUGCUUCUUUCAAGUUAGUGUGGAAAGAGCUGAUGCAUCUGUUGUAGCUGACGGAAUUUAAGGAACUGAAUAAUUGACAAGAUUUCCAGAAAAGCAGGGUCGCCAGAUAAUGCUACCUGUUUGCGAAUGAUUGUUACCGUAAUGCUCUAGAGAGCUAAUCCUUUCUCGGCCUAGUCAGAUGAUUUUAAAUCAUUUGAUUUUACAGAGCUUUAGUUUCAGUUUUUUAAAUGAAAAUGGGGAUGGGAUUAGGUCAUCUUCUAACACCCACGACAGCCAUAAAUUGAUAAUCUAUGGAUCCAUAUUUAAAGUUACUGAUAAAAAUAACCACAAUUGACCAGCCUCCCUUCCCUGUUAGGAAAUGCUUUAUAUUUUAAUUUAGCAACCCAUGUGACCAACCCUUUUAGAAUUGAACUGGCUCUCCCUAGGAAAGGUUAGAAAUCUAAUCAGUUAUAGUAAGUUUCUGUUAACAAAUGGGGAGUGGUCGACUUGGAGUUUGGAAAAGGGGAGCGUAAAGUCUAAAAGUUUGUUAAUUUAUCUAGCCGUUGCUCCAGGAGGACCUGUGUUAUAGUUUGGAAACAUUUACAAAGGGUAUUUUUGUGGGGCAGAAAACAGUUAGCAGUCCUUAAUGUAAUUUGGUUGAAAUAACCGUUCAAACCAGACUCCUCCUGUUGCUUUGAUUCCUUUUUCGCAAACUUUCUUAUGUUCUACGUAUCCAGGUGCUCCUGAUGGCCAGCAAUAGACUUGAGACAUUGGAAGAAUGUAUAGCCUUAGCGUCUAUUUAGUGUUAAGAUUUUGUAAGUCUAAUUACUGUGAAAUAGUCCUGGUAACUUUAUCGAUUCUGGAUACAAAGAAAAAUGCAAAGUGAAAGACCUUUGGAAAUUGCUAUUCACACCAGAGUACUCUAUGAGACAUUACAUAGGUGAUCAAGAAGAGUGAUCACCUGGCUGCACUUUAGGGUAUGUUUGUCCAGGUUUUUCUAAUAAGUUAAUUCUAAUCAAUAACUUUUGUUCUAAUUAGUAACUUUUGUAUAAAUGUUAAUGUUAAAUCGCGAAACAAUGUGGGAUGGGAUACUAAGUUCUCUCCAGGAACAUGAAAUGUCAGCCCAUUUAUUCACAUCUUUUUGUCCUCCCUAUUGUAUUGGUCCAGAUUUGUUGUUCAUCCUGACUGUAUGCUGUUUUUAGACAUUAGUUAUUUUUUAUGCUUUUGUCUAAACAAGCUCUGGCCGGGCGCCAUGGCUCACACCUGUAAUCCCAGGCCUUUGGGAGGCCGAGGUAGGCAGGUCACCUGAGGUGGAGAGUUUGAGACCAGCUUGACCAACACGGUUAAACCCUGUCUCUACUUUUAAAAAAAAUACAAAAAUUAGCCGGGCAUGGAGGCACACGUCAGUAAUCCCAGCUGCUUGGGAGGCUGUGGCACGAGAAUCACUUGAACUCAAGAGGCGGAGGUUGCAGUGAGCUGAAAUUGCCCCACUGCACUCCAGUC